GUCAUUAUCAGGGAACGGAUCUUUAGGACCUAAAAACCUAUAAAAAAACAAAAUGAAAUGGCGACAUAAGCAGGAAAAAGCACUGGUAAUAGCAA